UACGUAGGGUGCAAGCGUUGUCCGGAAUUAUUGGGCGUAAAGAGCUCGUAGGCGGUUUGUCGCGUCUGCCGUGAAAUUUCGAGGCUCAACCUCGAACUUGCGGUGGGUACGGGCAGACUAGAGUGUGGUAGGGGAGACUGGAAUUCCUGGUGUAGCGGUGAAAUGCGCAGAUAUCAGGAGGAACACCGAUGGCGAAGGCAGGUCUCUGGGCCACUACUGACGCUGAGAAGCGAAAGCAUGGGGAGCGAACAGG
rnacentral:rRNA from 1 species